UACGUAGGGUGCGAGCGUUACUCGGAAUUACUGGGCGUAAAGGGCUCGUAGGUGGCCAACUAAGUCGGACGUGAAAUCCCUCGGCUUAACCGGGGAACUGCGUCUGAUACUGGAUGGCUUGAGUUCGGGAGAGGGACGCGGAAUUCCAGGUGUAGCGGUGAAAUGCGUAGAUAUCUGGAGGAACACCGGUGGCGAAGGCGGCGUCCUGGACCAAUACUGACACUGAGGAGCGAAAGCCAGGGGAGCAAACGGG
rnacentral:rRNA from 1 species